AUUUAGCGAGCUGAGUGGGGAGGAGAGAGGGACAGAGAGCCUGCUUGCUUUAAAGGAACCAACCGGACAGGAGCCGCUUACACACGAGUGUAAGCGGCUCCUCUCCUCUCCCGCUUUGCUCCUUUAAAGCAAGCAGGCUCUCUGUCCCUCUCUCCUCCCCACUCAGCGGCUCUUCUC
rnacentral:miRNA from 1 species